UCCGAGUUGACCCCGGCAGUCCCCUUAGAGUCCCCGGCAUUACCCGCUGGCAACUAAGAGCAGGGGUUGCGCUCGUUGCGGCACUUAAGCCAACACCUCACGACACGAGCUGACGACAGCCAUGCAGCAUCUGUGCAUGAGCUCCGAAGAGCACCCCUGAUCUCUCAGAGGCUUCCCAUGCAUGUCAAGCCCAGGUAAGGUUCUUCGCGUUGCGUCGAAUUAAACCACACGCUCCGCUGCUUGUGCGGGUCCCCGUCAAUUCCUUUAUGUUUUAGUCUUGCGGCCGUACUCCCCAGGCGGGGUGCU
rnacentral:misc_RNA from 1 species